GACGAACGCUGGCGGCGUGCUUAACACAUGCAAGUCGAACGGAAAGGCCCCUUUGGGGGUACUCGAGUGGCGAACGGGUGAGUAACACGUGAGUAACCUGCCCUUGACUUCGGGAUAACUUCAGGAAACUGGGGCUAAUACCGGAUAGGAAUCCUUGCUGCAUGGUGGGGGUUGGAAAGCUUCGGCGGUUUUGGAUGGACUCGCGGCGUAUCAGCUUGUUGGUGGGGUAGUGGCUUACCAAGGCUUUGACGGGUAGCCGGCCUGAGAGGGCGACCGGCCACAUUGGGACUGAGAUACGGCCCAGACGCCUACGGGAGGCAGAAGGGGGGAAUAUUGCACAAGGGGCGGAAGCCUGAUGCAGCAACACCGCGUGCGGGAUGACGGCCUUCGGGUUGUAAACCGCUUUCAGCAGGGGCGAAGCUUGUGGUGACGGUACCUGCAGAAGAAGCACCGGCUAACUACGUG
rnacentral:rRNA from 1 species